UGUUUGGACAUUUUUCGACUUGCAUGACUGGGGUCACCUCUGAUAAAAAAAAAUGUGAAAAUUCAGAGAGUAAUGCGAGAACGUUUUGAGGAUAAUUUAUGUGUGGCAUAUAUAUUUGUGCAUCUAACGCACUAUGAAUUGCAUUAUUCUAGAAAGUAUAGGUUACAAUAAACCAUUAGAUUUUAUAGGCGUAGCCAUUUCAUGAACAUGGUAUUCAGAAUUAAAGAGUAUGGCUAUAAUCCUGAUUGGUCGAUAUGUUCGCCCGUUAUUUUUUUUUUU
rnacentral:lncRNA from 1 species